rnacentral:rRNA from 1 species
GACGAACGCUGGCGGCGUGCCUAAUACAUGCAAGUAGAACGCUGAAGGAGGAGCUUGCUUCUCUGGAUGAGUUGCGAACGGGUGAGUAACGCGUAGGUAACCUGCCUGGUAGCGGGGGAUAACUAUUGGAAACGAUAGCUAAUACCGCAUAAUAGUAGAUGUUGCAUGACAUUUGCCUAAAAGGUGCAAUUGCAUCACUACCAGAUGGACCUGCGUUGUAUUAGCUAGUUGGUGGGGUAACGGCUCACCAAGGCGACGAUACAUAGCCGACCUGAGAGGGUGAUCGGCCACACUGGGACUGAGACACGGCCCAGACUCCUACGGGAGGCAGCAGUAGGGAAUCUUCGGCAAUGGACGGAAGUCUGACCGAGCAACGCCGCGUGAGUGAAGAAGGUUUUCGGAUCGUAAAGCUCUGUCGUAAGAGAAGAACGAGUGUGAGAGUGGAAAGUUCACACUGUGACGGUAUCUUACCAGAAAGGGACGGCUAACUACGUG